CUACGGGAGGCAGCAGUGGGGAAUACUGGACAAUGGGCGAAAGCCUGAUCCAGCAAUGCCGCGUGAGUGAUGAAGGCCUUAGGGUUGUAAAGCUCUUUUACCAGGGAUGAUAAUGACAGUACCUGGAGAAUAAGCUCCGGCUAACUCCGUGCCAGCAGCCGCGGUAAUACGGAGGGAGCUAGCGUUGUUCGGAAUUACUGGGCGUAAAGCGCGCGUAGGCGGUUUAUCAAGUCAGGGGUGAAAUCCCGGAGCUCAACUCCGGAACUGCCCUUGAAACUGGUUGACUAGAAUCCUGGAGAGGCGAGUGGAAUUCCGAGUGUAGAGGUGAAAUUCGUAGAUAUUCGGAAGAACACCAGUGGCGAAGGCGACUCGCUGGACAGGUAUUGACGCUGAGGUGCGAAGGCUAGGGUAGCGAACGGGAUUAGAUACCCGUGUAGUCC
rnacentral:rRNA from 1 species